GGGAAUGUGGCUUAGUGGUAGAGUGCUUGCCUAGCAUGCAUGAAGCCCUGAGUUCGAUUCCUCACCACCA
rnacentral:tRNA from 1 species